rnacentral:lncRNA from 1 species
CAAACCCUAAUUACCCUCCCCCUUCAUUUCUCUCUCUACGUCUCUCAAUUUCCAUCUCUUUCUCUCUCACACGACAAUCGGCAUCCCUUCUCCUCUAUCCACCCAUCUUCUCUCUAUCCUUCUACUGGUGACGUUGGACGCUGUGGGGAUAGGCAAGAUCGAUGCAGUUACAAGAGACCAACGUCGACGCUAUAGGGAGAGGACCGGCGCCACUGCCGACUGCGAGCUCUGUCUUGCCGUUGAAAAAAGGAGCUCUGUCGCUGUCGAGAUCUCUACCUAGGAAAGUGGAUAGUUCGUGUAGCCCAGCAAUGACCCGCUUGUGUAGCCCAGCAAUGCCCUCAUUGCCUCCGCCUCUGCUCGCACCUCGCAGUACCGGUUUAUAGCUUUCAAUGUGUAUUUCUUGUACAAAAUUUACAAAGGCAAAAUGAAAUCUUUGGCUCU